rnacentral:misc_RNA from 1 species
GAAAUGCGAUAAGUAAUGUGAAUUGCAGAAUUCAGUGAAUCAUCGAAUCUUUGAACGCACCUUGCGCUCCUUGGUAUUCCUUGGAGCAUGCCUGUUUGAGUAUCAUGAAAUCUUCAAAGUAAAUCUUUUGUUAACUCAAUUGGUUUCUACUUUGGUAUUGGAGGUCUUUGCAGCUUCACACCUGCUCCUCUUUGUUCAUUAGCUGGAUCUCAGUGUUAUGCUUGGUUCCACUCGGCGUGAUAAGUUAUCUAUCGCUGAGGACACUGUAAAAGGUGGCCAAGGUAAAUGCAGAUGAACCGCUUCUAAUAGUCCAUUUACUUUGACAAUACUUUUAUGAUCUGAUCUCAAAUCAGGUAGGACUACCCGCUGAACUUAAGC